AUUGAACGCUGGCGGCAUGCCUUACACAUGCAAGUCGAACGGCAGCGCGGGCUUCGGUCUGGCGGCGAGUGGCGAACGGGUGAGUAAAGCAUCGGAACGUGCCUAGGAGUGGGGGAUAACGUAGCGAAAGUUACGCUAAUACCGCAUAUUCUGUGAGCAGGAAAGCAGGGGAUCUUCGGACCUUGUGCUUCUGGAGCGGCCGAUGUCAGAUUAGCUAGUUGGUGAGGUAAAAGCUCACCAAGGCGACGAUCUGUAGCGGGUCUGAGAGGAUGAUCCGCCACACUGGGACUGAGACACGGCCCAGACUCCUACGGGAGGCAGCAGUGGGGAAUUUUGGACAAUGGGGGCAACCCUGAUCCAGCCAUGCCGCGUGAGUGAAGAAGGCCUUCGGGUUGUAAAGCUCUUUCGGCCGGGAAAAAAUCGCUUGGGCUAAUACCUCAAGUGGAUGAUGGUACCGGAAUAAGAAGCACCGGCUAACUACGUGCCAGCCGCCGCCGUAA
rnacentral:rRNA from 1 species